CCCUUAGAUGUCCUGGGCCGCACGCGCGCUACACUGACAUGUUCAACAAGCCUCCUAGUUCGACAGGAUUUGGGAAAUCUUUGAACGCAUGUCGUGAUAGGGAUAGAUCAUUGCAAUUAUUGAUCUUGAACGAGGAAUUCCUAGUAAACGCGAGUCAUCAGCUCGCAUUGAUUACGUCCCUGCCCUUUGUACACACCGCCCGUCGCACCUACCGAUUGAAUGUUUCGGUGAAGAUUCCGGAUAGGACUUUUUUGAUUUAUUUCAAUUUUGUCUUAAAAGCUAUCUAAACCUCAACAUUUAGAGGAAGGUGAAGUCGUAAC
rnacentral:rRNA from 1 species